GUUUAAAAAUUUGGAUUUGACAAAUUUCUUGAACCUUUUAUAAAAGAGUUAAAAUCUCUGGAGCACGAAGGUUUGUUUGUGGAAGCUUUAGGACGUUAUAUAAAGCCAACGGUAUUCUGUGUGUGUGCCGAUAAUCUUGGAGCACAUGGUCUUGCUGGGUUUCAGGAAAAUUUCAAUGUAGAAAAAUUCUGUCGAUUCUGUUUGAUUAGUCGUGAUCAGAUCUCAACUGUAAAACCUUGUGACUUUCCGUUGAGAACUGUGGAUCAACAUGAUUUAUUUGUAGAACAGCUUAAGCAGAGUGCUAUUCAGAGUGUUAAUGGUAUAAAGAGUGAGUGUGCAUUGAGCAAACACUUAAGAUACUUUCAUCCUGUAACUGGAUUUCUCCCGGACAUUUUACAUGAUUUCUUUGAAGGGGUCAUCCCUGCGGAAUUAUCUUUGUGCCUCAGAGACUUGAUUUCCAAAGGUUUCAUUACUCUUGAAGGAGUAAAUCACUCCAUUAGAACAUUUCCUUACAAGUACUCCGCCAGGGUCAACAAACCAAAGACAAUUCUACAAACAGGCCUUGCUAAAGGAUCAAUCGGAGGAAAUGGACACGAAAAUUGGACGUUAUUGCGCUUACUUCCUCUGAUGAUUGGGGAUCGUAUCCCAGAGCAUGAGCCAUCAUGGGACAUAUUAAUGGACCUAAAAGAAAUUGUUGAGAUUGUUUUGUCAAACAGUCUCUCUGAUGAAACUCUGUGUUACUUGUCAUUUAAAUUGUCUGACCACCGCUUGCUUCUUAUUUCCACUUUUCCAGACUAUGCAUUAAAGCCUAAGCAUCACUUUAUUGAACACUACCCAGAACUAACUAAAUGUUUUGGACCUUUAGUGACUUUGUGGACCAUGAGAUUUGAGUCUAAGCACUCUUUCUUCAAGAAGGUUGCGCGUGAUGCCCACAACAUGAAAAAUGUACUUCUCACUCUUUCCAUGAAACAUCAACAAAUGAUUGCAUACCAUUUGGAUGCACAAAGCCUUUUAAAGUCAGACUUGCAUGUUGACAAGUUGGAUGUGGUUAGCACAUCAUUGUUGGAUGCAACCCUGAGGCAUGCUGUACAAAUAAAGUUCCCACAGUUGCACACUGUGUCACUGUCCAGAGACGUUUGUCUUCAUGGAACUAGAUAUGCCCAGGACAUGAUCAUAUCGGCAGGACACUGCAAUGGACAGCCUGAGUUCUUCAGAAUUGAAUACAUGUUGAUCCAUUCUGCCAAAGUGUCCUUUAUAACAAAAAGGGUUUCUGCUUGGUAUUUAGAACAUUUGAGAUCUUAUGAACUUGUUGAAAGCCACUAUGCUGACAUGGUUAUCUUUGACUCUGGUGACCUAAAUGGCUAUCACCCAUUAAUUCCAUACAGUGUGGGAUCAAAAGUGUUUGUGACCCUGAGGACCUAUUUGCAGCAUUAAAUGUCCUUUACAAUGCCUUUGCUACUACGAGUCAUCAUUUCCUCCACUGAAGCCCGGCGAGUCCAGCUUCCUGAAGUGCCUGAAUCAGUGGAAUCUCUCAUCAAUAUUCUUCAAGAGAAGCUGCAAAUACAAGGACAGUUUUCCCUUAAGUUUGAGGAUGCUGAUUUUGGCAAUGCACUUUGUAACCUGUCUGACAUCUCAGAAUUGCCAAGUGAAAAAGCAGUCUUGCAUAAUCAGGGGUGCAAGUCAUCAGCUUAUGAAACCAGUAGCCUUCCAUCAGUUUCAUCACUUGAUACUGCUAGUCUCGACUCCUCUGAAGAAUCCUUGCCAAGCACUUCAGGCUCUAUGCAAAACUAUUUACGCACUGCCUCAGAAUGGCCCUCGCCAUUUCCCAUACCAGUGCUGUCAUUUGAUGUGGAGCUAAAACUAAGACGAGGAAACGAGGCAUUUGAAAAAACAAAAAUAGGCGUUGAUGUGACUAGAGACAUGAAAAUAGAGAUUCUUGACAAAAUAGUGCAGACAGUUUUUGAUAUUAAGGCGUACCCUGACAAUCAGGAAAUUGAAUCCAUUGCAUCUGCAUUGGUUUUCAAAUAUCCUUGCCUUAAGGAGCCUGGCAAAGGAAAGGGUUUUGAGGGGUGGUUGAUUAGCAUCAAGAACAAGCUAAACAAUUAUAGAGGGGUGGUUGAUUAGCAUCAAGAACAAGCUAAACAAUUAUAGGGCAAAGUUGCGAGUGGCAGGUUGCAAUGAAGUAAUUGUUAACAGGAAGCGAAACGAUGAUGCCAGUAGUCGGAGGAGUUUCACUCUGAAAAAGGCAAAGCGUGGAGAAGUCAAUCAUGUACCGGAACAUCCAUGCAACCACACUGACACUUCACUUGAAGAGCAAAGAAUUAUUUUGGUAGAGGAAACCAAAAAGGCAAGAAGAGACAUGGCAGCCAUAAGUGAAAAAAUGGAACUAACAUUUUCCCUUAGAAGAAAAGAAAUGGUCCAAGAGCAGCCAAUGAUUGUAGAGGUUCAGGAGAGGUGGCCUGCACUCUUUUUCCAAGAACAGAUCUGUGAGGAAUUUUUCCACAUCACCAACAAAGACCUUCUAGGAGUCUUCAUGGCAGCCACUGACAAGUACACACCAAAGCUUCUGAAGUUAUACAGAGCCAGAAAAGGAGCAUGAAAUGGAAGAGCUCCUGGAAAGACUUGA